rnacentral:pre_miRNA from 1 species
CGUGCACCAGUGGGGUCCCUCAGCCUGGCCUGUGCUGUCUCACAAUCUGGGACCCCUCGGGGGAUGUCGUAGAGCCAGUUUCAGCCCAAUCCCGCAGGCCAGGCUGAGGGACCCCACUGGUGCACG